UUCUCCCGUAGGGCGUGUGUCCAGCGCAGAGCCUCGUUGCUCAGGGACAACAUGAAAAUAAAUCUUCUCUCCUGGACCUGCCUACCAUUCUCCUACAGUCCUUAAGAGUCAAAUCCAUGAGAAGGAACAUUUGGCACGCUUAACAUCGUCUGGUACUGCUGUUUCUGUUAGUUUUUUUUUUUUCAUUCGAUAGUUCUUAUGCGAGUUACAGACCAUAGGAAAUCCGAUUAGUCGACAUUCCUCGUGCAAAAACAAAACACGUGCCUUCAGUUUCACUAUGAGCGACAUCUAACACAGUGACAAAUAGUAUCACACGGAAUUCAGUUAUAUGAUAUAGUGUGACGGUACUGGCGGUGGGAUAAGGGAGUCCGAGAAAACAGUGAAAUAUUAAAACUCAAUUUGGUUCAGUGCCGCGCGUGCGACCCGAAGGCUACUCCCGAGUGAUUCCAAGCAGAUCGCACCGAGCUACCCAAAGGGAUAUAAAACACAGACUCCAGGAGGGAGAUGGAAGCCAGUGGCCGUGGAUUCAAAAAACGAAGACGCCGUUGGAUGACAGUCCUGUACGUCCCACGCAGUAAAUCCAAAAUGUUAGUACAAAUCCAAGAAAAAAAGUGUGUAAUCAGAGGGAAUAGAGUUUCAAAAAAUGUUAUACCUCCUAACAAGCAUCUUGUAAUGAAUUUUCAAAAAGAUUCAAUCGCGCCAAGAAAGUACCUCGGGCGUCAAGUGUCAGCAAAUCCAAAGCAGCUGAAGAAAUUCGCACGAGUCUUGCGCGAGCGAAAUUCACUGAAGAAAUAAAGGUUCGAGUGGAAUCCUCUCGUAGAGUAGAAUCCCAGCAAUGGAUUGUGUAUUGGUACCGGAGCAAACCUAACCUAACUUAAUUUAACCUAACCCAGACUGAUUUGGACUCGAACCAUUCAAUCGAAUCUGCAUUACCGACCGUUGUUAAAGAAACGGAUAGACACGCUGCUGACUAUGAGGUAAAAUGAGACUCAAGAAAUGGAACGAAGAAAAAUGAAGUGAAAUAGAAGAAAAAGAAGAAGAAGAAAGAAAGAAAGAAAAAAGAAGAAGUGCAUCGUAUCAAUGCCGGAAACUAGCGAAGCAGCUUGACGAUGUCGAGUCGGUGGUUUGAACCUGGGUAAUAUUUCAUGCAGUAAAUCUUUAAUGGCGGCGGCGCGACAAAGCGAUAGCACAACAAGAAGACGCCGGGAGGCUCCCAGUACAAAGUAGAAGAGUAGAAUGGUGGAUGAAGAUCAGGCGAAUGUGAAAGGUAUAAAAGGAAGUAGAUAGAUAUAGGUAUAACAUAAAAUAGAUUCGACAUAUACAUCGUAGGUAGGAAGUAAGAAGGGAAGUAAAGUAUAAGGUCGAUGAAGAAGUGGAAUGUUAGGAGGAAAGGGAUACGGAAGUCCGCCCACGCUAUCUCUUCUUUCAAUAAGAUUCCGCGUGAGCGGUGUCUCACACGAGGCGUGACUCAUGUUGGCAAUAUUGGGAGUCGCAGCAUCUUUUCUUGGUCCAUAACGCUUGAAAAACGACACUCUUUAACCCGCCAAGUUAAAUUUAAAAAUUCAAGCAAACAAAAAUUAUUCCAUUUCCCUCAAACAUUGUCACGUCCCUCUGUUUAUUAUCAAAGUAAAAAUUUACGCUCGAACAUUUUAAUAUUUAUACAAAAUUUUAUUAUCGACUAAACAGACAAAUUAAGAUCACAAUUUUUGUCCCAUUAUAAAUUUACGAAUAAUUCAAUAUAUCCGCUCGUACGAUAUAUUUGACAUGUAAAACAAAUUUAUAUCUAUAUACAUACAAAUUUUAAAUAUCUUGACAGACGCUUUUGAUUUUUCGUAAAAUCAGAGCGAUACACGGAAAUCGAUUCGAUAGAGUGUCAAGCAGAAGUAGAGCGUACUAUGAGGAUAGAGUGCAGUGUCGCUUUAUAUAUCGGGUAUAUAUAGUAUACACACUAUAUAUAUAGAAUGCUGUAUAAAGUAUAUUGGCGGUUCAGCCAGCGAGCGAUACCUAGUGAUAAUAGAGCGGGAAUCUAUUGUCAGAACGGGUGACGUACGUACACACAUGAUAUAGCCAAGCAUGCACAGGGUGCAUUGAUAUAUAUCGGGUGUCGCAUAUUUAUCUCAAUAUAAGAGUACCUCACAUCCAGUCACUAUAAGCCAGUGCGUGUAGUCAUACGGUUCCAGAGACUCCUCGACCCAACAAUCCAGGCAUCCAUAUUCAUUCAAGGGUUUACCAACGUAUAACCCGGAUUGACAGCUCUCUUGGGAUUGGUUCAAUUCCGCGGAAACGUCUCACUUUAAAUCCACCGUCUAAACCCUUCAGCCCUUUGCUUUACCACCGCCCAAGUGUCAUUCCCCAUGUUCCUCUCUAUAUAUUUGUGCUCCAUGCAAUAUAUUUACUACGCUACGUUAUAUGGCGCAAUAAACUCUCAGCAUCUAAAAUGCAUAGAAAUCCCUAUUGUUUAUAUAUUAAAUCAAUAUUAUCGUACACCCUUAAUUUCUAUGCAGGACAACAUGGCGACCGUAUCGCGUUUUUUCAAUGCGACGGGAAUUUCGAAAUCAAUGCAACAGUCGAUUGAUAGUUCUCGCUUGUCGCUUUCGAGUUACGAAUUUCGUCGCCAGGUGGCGCCGCGAUCGGACCCUUUUAAUUCUGGCUUUAAAUAUUACAUAUUCUAGUCAUAGCCUCGUACCCAGGCGACGCUCGAUACUCGGCCUCCAUUAUUUUCGUACUUUCUCUUCACCUUAGGGUACGUCGUCCCUGACGAUGUAUCCGACGUAGACGAGGCUAGGCCCAACGGCUUCUUACUUCUUUCUUUCUUUGUUCUUCUUUUCCCUAGUUUCCGCUACCCUCGCUCUCACGCUUUCUCCCUCUUCCUACUCAAGCAAUUCCAACCUACUUGUCCCUCUCUCCUUAUUUUCAAUCCGCGCACGACCUCCGACCCGGCUCAUAAGAAUAAUGGCGUCCUCGCGUCGUUAGGGACAGGAUUGACGUGUCCCUAUAUACUUUAGUCAGUAUAUCUCGUUACUGUUACCCUACAUUUCAAAAUUUAUCGAUCCUUCUAACCUCAAUAGGGCCGUAGACACCAAAUUUGUGUAAUUACUAACACAAUCAACGACUAACAAACACUCUGAGUUCAACUUCCUCGAAUUAUACAUUCCUCACAGUCAAUCAAGAGACUCGAUCGAGUCUCGCGCCGGCUACAGGCAACCGGCUGUACAGCCAAUGCGACGCAAGUCAUGUAACAGGCGUCAUUAAUGGCGUCCUGCUCGUAUACGCCGUGCGGUGAACUAAGAGUAUUUAUGUAUUUAAAUUUUAUUUCUGUAACAAUAUAGAUUCGAGUGAUUGGAACUUUCUUAAUAUAUCCCGUUGAGGAAUGAAAAUUUGUGAUUUCUCCAAAAAAAAAAAUACGUGAAAACAACUAUGCUAAUGUACACUGUAUGGGAGUGCUGUGAAUUCCUCUGACAAAAAGUAUUGAAAUAUGUAGACUAGACAUGUCCGUGUAAUCUGUGCCGCGCGGUUCUGAUAUGCAGAAUGUACUAUAUAUGCAUAAAGGUAGAAACCCAAUGGUUAGAAACCCAAAUGUUCCACAGCAUUGAAAUGAAAUUCCCUGAAUGGUUAUUCUCUUGAAAUUCCAAUGUAUUCCAAAUAUAGUACUCCGUUAUACUGUUCCAUAUCAUAAUUGAGCAGCCGGUAGCCGGAUUUAUUGUACCAAUAAGUCAUAUAGAGUUAAAGAUACUGAAAACCUGACAUUGAGAAUACCACGGGAAUUAAUUGACGAUAAAUAAAUUAUUAAUUUACGAAGCUCUCAUGUGCCUGCGAGUAGAAUGCAGGUGAAAGUUAUAGUUCCAGUUGUAGUGCAAGUGUUUAAAGUUAGGCUUCUGAUGAUUGGUUGGAUGAUCCGGGAAGAAAGAAAACGUUGAAGAUAAUAGAGGAAAGGAGCUUCGAAGUUGGAAAAGGAAUGAAGAAGGGAGGAAAGAAUUUUCCGAAGUGGGACCCUACCCGUCCAUUUUCGUGAGGUCCUACGUCUCCACAAAGGAGCUGCGACCACUCCAAGGUCCACCGGAGGACCGUGUUUUGGGGAUUGAGGAAAAAAACCAGAGACUUCAGCGUCCGGGAUUCGGGGAAAAAAGUUUGGGAACGAAAGGAAGCUGGAUCGGGCGACAAGAAAGACGCAGUUAAACGCGGAAGUCUCUCGUAUCCGACAGAGACUAAUCAAAAGAACCGAUGCUACUUCAAGUGAAGCUAACCCAGGGACACGAGCAAAAGCAGCUACUUUGCCCAGAGCCAACGGACUAGCCCUCCGACUUCCCCAUCGACACAUGGGACCAUUACCACCCACACAAGUGCUCAAGGGGCAGCGACGUCUUGCAGCGUUUUCAGAAAACCGAAAAAAAUAUAGUAAAAUCGCGGAAGAUAGACAACCAGUUAGACUGACUGUAGACCAUAGAACCCGUGUCAAAAUAUAUUAUCAAUCAUCGCGUCAUCUUCUCAUCCACCCCUCUCCUUUAUCAUUACGUACAUGUUUAUGUUGUAA